AUUUGAUGAUAUCAAUGUUUGUACAUCUUUCAAAUCUAGUGUUGUUUCAGCUGAGCUGGAAGCCUGCUCACUGAUAUCAAGUGACAGGAGACACAAAAGUACUUUCAAGUAAAGAGAAAUCAAGUAACACGUGACAGUUUACAUGUGAUUCUACAUGGUCCAGAGACAGUAACUCCGUGGACAUGCUUCAAGGGUGGUGGGAAUGCUAUGCCCAGAAGACAGGAGGCAGCAUUUCUAAUGUGCAUGCCUGUGAGGACCCCGGUGUUCAGCCCUCCGUUAUGAAUUCACACAGACAGCACUGCGGCACACACACAGAUUUUGCUGCUGCUGCAAACCUGGGAUCACGGCUGCGAUGCAGAGAUCCUGCUGGCUGACUAUUUAAACCUGCAUUCGGAAGUCAUCACUCUGUACUGCUUGUGCGAUUGCAGACCAUUAGUUUCCUAAGCCCUUCUUUCCCUUUUUCCACCUGUAUAAUAAGGAAGUGAACGUGAUAGCCUGUUAGCAGUGUGACAGUGCUGACUUUUAGCCCCGAGACCGUAUUCAACAAGGGAAUGUUCUAACCUUCAUCUCCUGGAAGUCUCCUAUCUGUUACAUGCCCGGAGCUAUUACCCACUAAAGGACUUCACAUUUUUGAAUACUUAAACUGAAAGAAACAGAUAUGGGAGGAACUACAUAAAUCCAUUAUUGCAGCAGAAAUAUCUUUCUGCUUCAGGCAUAGAAGAUAAAUUGCCACCAAAGUGAUACAAAGUUGGUUUGAUUAUUUCAUUGGAUCAAAUAUAUCAUGCUGUCUUGAAAUCUGCUUUCAAGUCAAAAUUAAAGAAUUUUAC
rnacentral:lncRNA from 1 species